rnacentral:piRNA from 1 species
UCUCUGAGGUGAGGAUAGUGUCCAU